rnacentral:rRNA from 1 species
UGGGAAUUGUUCGCAAUGGGCGCAAGCCUGACGACGCAACGCCGCGUGGAGGAUGAAGACCUUCGGGUCGUAAACUCCUUUCGAUCGAGACGAAUGGCCUCCGGGUGAAUAAUCCGGAGGAGUGACGGUACCGAGAGAAGAAGCCCCGGCUAACUCCGUGCCAGCAGCCGCGGUAAUACGGGGGGGGCAAGCGUUGUUCGGAAUUACUGGGCGUAAAGGGCUCGUAGGUGGCCAACUAAGUCAGACGUGAAAUCCCUCGGCUUAACCGGGGAACUGCAUCUGAUACUGGAUGGCUUGAGUUUGGGUGAGGGACGCGGAAUUCCAGGUGUAGCGGUGAAAUGCGUAGAUAUCUGGAGGAACACCGGUGGCGAAGGCGGCGUCCUGGACCAAUACUGACACUGAUGAGCGAAAGCCAGGGGAGCAAACGGG